rnacentral:rRNA from 1 species
GAUUUCUGGCGUGACGUUCCUGGCCCGCCACGGUUACGUGUGUGAGUGCCGGGUAACGUCUGCCAUCCUUCCAGAGAACCUAUCUGCUCUUCAUUGCAGUGGGUAGGCAAUCUGGAUCUUUUACUUUGAAAAAAUUAGAGUGUUUAAAGCAGGCUAUUGCUAUGAAUACAUUAGCAUGGAAUAAUAAUCUAGGACUUCGGUUCUAUUUUGUUGGUUUCUAUAACUGAAGUAAUGAUUGAUAGGGAUAGUUGGGGGUGCUAGUAUUGGCCGGUCAGAGGUGAAAUUCUUGGAUUCGGUCAAGACUAACUUAUGCGAAAGCAUU